GGGCGCGUAGCUCAGUGGGAGAGCGCUUGCUUCACACGCAAGAGGUCGCAGGUUCAAAACCUGCCGCGCCCACCA
rnacentral:tRNA from 2 species